CCAACACCACAGUCUUGGGCAGAAACGACGCACAUCCAGCAGUGGAGAGCAGCCCCCUUCUCCUGGCGGCGUGGAGUAUUUCAUAUGCACUGGGUUUGUGAGUUCACAUGCUGUCAGCACCCUCAGGGGUGGGAGGGUCUACAAAGUCAAACAGCCUGUGACCUUACCUGAAACCGUCAACGAGCCCACACAUUAUUUCCAACAUGGAGGGUGUCGCUGUGGACAACCUCAUCGACUUUGACUUGCCCUCAGAGGCUUCAGGCCUGUUGAGUGUAGAUGGAGGCCAACAACAAGGCCACACAGACAUUUUCUCCCCAGAGCCCAGGUCUAACAUGGGAGUUCAUCAGCAGUCCUUACUGCCAGAGCCCAUGGCACCCACCAAACCUGGCUCUCACCACCACCACCACCACCAUAACCACCAUGAGGAGGGAGACAACGAGAGUGAUGCGACAGAGUCGGCGGACAGCGAGAAUGACAUGGACCCGCCCUCUGAUACAUGGGAGCUGAGGAGGUCGUCAUCUUCAUCGGCACACAGCGGGGAGGAUGCUGACGCUGACACGGUGGAGAGGAGGAAGUUCAUGAAGGCUUACGUGGAGAAGGUGUUUCAUGGAAAGGAGGACUUUGAACAGGAGGAGCAGGCUCGGUUUGGAGAGCUGUGCAGUGGAGAGAACGGCAAAGGUCGGGAGUGGUUUGCCAAAUACGUCAGUGCACAGCGCUGCCACUCCAAAUGUGUGAGUGAAGCCACCUUCUACAGACUGGUGCAGUCCUUUGCAGUCGUGCUGUUUGAAUGUUACCAGAUGGAUGACUACACCCCAGCCAAAAACCUCAUGACUAUGUGCUUCACAUACUACUACAUAGGGAAGUCCCCGCCGUCUCCCUCAGAGCUGCUGGAUCAUGGUCCUCCUGUAGCUCUGGAUACGUACCUCUACAAGGCCAACUCCUGGCUGACUGGGAAGAAAGACGCUGCUGAGCGCCUCCUCAAAAACACAUCCAAGUCUGACGUCAAAGGUUUCUUUGGUGGCCUAGAGAGCAAGCUGAGGAGCACGGUGGUUCCAAAGAAUGAGGACAGUGAAGGAACAGUCGGGACAAAACCCACAUCACCAGUAUCCCUCACUCCAGAGGAAAAGAAAAAUGAAAAGGUGUACCUGUACACUCACCUGAAGCAGCAGCCCAUAUGGCACACAUUACGAUUUUGGAAUGCUGCGUUUUUUGAUGCUGUCCACUGUGAGAGGACGAAAAGAUCACCGACAACACGGGGGACGCAGGAUGAAGAGAAGUCUGAGAGGUCUGUCCUUCUGUUUGUCUGCUGCCCCCAAAAUCUUGUCAAAUAAAUUGAUGAAUGAAGGCAGAGAGAUGAAGAAGGACAGAGUCUUUGCAAAUUUUUCACAGAUCUUCUAAAAAUAGAAUCUGUUAUGAAGGUCCAGUGUAGUAUAUAAGAAGAUGGCUGAAUAGACUUGAGAGUGACACCGAGCUAGCUAAAUUAAAAAACAGCAUUGUGAUUGGUAGCUGCUUGGAUACAUUUAACAUAUUUAGCAUGUGUACUGCUGAAUAAGGUUUAUUUUAGUGUUUUGAGCCAUAAUUGGUGUCAAGUUGUUGAGCACAGGGUUCUAGUAUGGAUAAAAACAAACUGAUACAGCAUAACCAUUCUAAACACAGUUCAUUAAAGAUGUAAGCUUAUAGAUUUUAAUAGUAAUUUCCAGUAGAUAUGUCUUCAUGCAACCAAGCCUGGGUGUCUAACAGUUAACUCGCUUGUUCACUCAAGAGGAGGAGGGGACUCCCCCGGCGUAGGAACAAAAAAGAAAACCUCUCUCUGUUAACCUGAAGUGUGUCACCACCAUACUUACAGGCUGUUGCCAUUUUUUAUCUUAAAGUAAUGACUGAAUUAAAACAUUGUUUGGGGGUGAUCAAAAUCCACCUAGACUUGGGUGUGUAGCCUGAAUGUGUUCUCAGUUAGGCCGCUUAAAUCAAAAGGCCACAUACUACUCGAGUUAUAACACAACCAAGGAACUGCAAAAAGACAGAUGAUGGAUGCUAUGUCACUGUUUUUUGGUGUUAUGAUACGUUUGUGGAACAUACAUAGUCCACUGGGAUUGUCUAAUCCAUUGCCCUUUUAUUGUUGGAGUAGCUGGAAGCAGUGACAGCCAUUGGUCCAAUCUGUAGUUUAUAAGGCGUGGUCUAAUGAACACUGAUGGGAUGGUCUGCAAUAAUAAUAGAUAGACAAAGUGAGUGUCAGGAGUGUAGUUAGAGACACAGUUGUGUAUUAAUCAAAAGAUAUAAUCUGCUUAAUUCAAGCUGCAGAGUUAUGUCCACCUCACUAGAAUAACAAUGUGGUUUUUGUGUAAUUAUAACUGAUUAUCUGUUUUCUGUAUUCGUGCCUCAUUUGUUGCCACACUUUUCUUUGAGCUCAUAACUCCCGUUCUCUGCUGCCUUUAAUCUGUCUUCAUCUGGCUUCUGUUGGCAUGCCGUUGUGGUUGUCCAGUAGGUGAUAUGAUUCACCUUGCUAUGCUUUCAUGCUGCUGUUGAAAUGAUUUUGAGCCCAUCUUUGAUGAUUAAACGCAUCACUCCCACAGUUAAUAUCCUGAUGUGCACAGCAAAUCUUGUGUAAUGUCUGUGAUGGUGUUUAUAUCCGGAGCAGGAGACAUAGGCAGCAGAUCCACUGCAGUCUCUUCACAGCUCGCCGCAUGUUCACACCAUUAAUCUCUCUGCAUGUGAUAUUUUGUCGCCCUCAUCUGCAUGUUCCCUGUGCCGUCUCUGUUUUACUGUUCAGUACCAGCCUCUGUGUUUCACUGCAGAGUGACUGCAGAGAUGUGCAGUACAUGCCAUGUGUAGAAUAUGCACAUUUAAAGAAUUGAACGCAGCGAUUUCUGAUGUACCACUCUGCAUUUUUGGUCUCUUUUGGAGAUUAAUUUCCCUUUCAUUUCUACCUAUAAAUAUAAAUAUGCCAUAGGUUCAUUAGGUAUUAUAAACUGAGAUUAUUUAUAAUGAAUUUGAGCAAGAUUAGCUUCAUAUACUGUAUUUGAGAAUUGUAUUUCCUCAGUUAUUUUAUGAUGUUAUGGUCCCAAUCUUGGGUUUAUAAGUCUUCUUUAAUACAUCAUGACUUCCAUUUUGUAGGUGAUGGUACCAUUUCAAGUUAAGAAAAAGCUGGACAGAUUGGAUGAUUUGCUGACGUCCUCUACAUUAUUAAUUACUACCUUGAAAAUCUUAAUAAUAACCUCAACAGUCUACAUACAGCUGUCUAAGAGGCACUAAGAGAGUAAGCUGUUCAUCACUAAACAAAAACAAAACUAGCAUCUCAUUUGGCUUAACCUUACCAAGUCCGAGCUAGCAUUAGCAUCCGAUAACCUCUGAUUUCUCUCCAGCAUCACACUCUCAUCCACAUUUGGUCACUUUGUGCUUCAGAUGGCAUAAAAAUAGCGGCCCAUUAAACUAGUGGAUGAUGUCACUGUACUUUUGACCAGCACACAAGUCCUCCAGCACCAAGCUCCUGUGAGCUGUCUAUUUAUCAGUCCAACAGACACAGAGCAGCAGCAUCCAUUAGAGUUAUUACUGAGGUUCUCUCUUCCUAAUGCCUCUUUCAACUUAGAAGGUAAUAUUUAUAACAACAAACAGAUAUCAUGAGAUUAAAAUGUAACACUAAAGCAAGUCUUCAGAUUACAGUUUAAGGAUCCUCCAGCUGAUGAAGACAUGGUACUAACUUAAAUGGUUCAGAACAGCUCUGUCUUUGAAGUGGAUGCCAUUCACAAAAAGGUUUCAUAAUUUACAGUUAAUCCAAUGAGAAGGUGAUAAUACUGGUUGUUACCUCUUCAUAAACUUCAUAAUAAUUGUACUAAUAGUGUGUUGAAGAUGUUGUCUUUAGUUGCAAAGAUGCAGCAGCUUUAGCUACAUAUCCAGCAGCAACUACUGUAUGAUAUGGUGAGUUUUGCAAAUCUUCCCCCUCCCAAGUGAGUGAGACAAGGCGUGCCUUUAUGUUGUUUUUUUUAAACCUGAAGAUACUGCAUCAUCACUAACACUCUUUCUGCAUGUAGAUAUUAAAGUUCAGGACAGUGUCAUACCAGAUCAAUGCUUUUCAUCUGCCUGUUAACAAUGAUGAUUCUUUGUGAAUUAAUCAUUUGUUGUUUUAUUCUUUUGCUGAAAGCUGGUUAACGUGUUUCUUGACCUUUGAUGUUGUUUUAUGUGCUUUAUGUGUGAUGUAUUCUCUAUUUGCAUCUCGUUACGAUAAUCAGAGGCAAAGGGGUGGAUGUCAUGGAUUUCUUUCUGUGGCAGAGAUGGUAUUUGACCCAAUAAAGGUCUGAAAAUGAGGAGGGUGUGCCACAUGUGAACAACUUAUUUGAGUUUCGACUUAAAGUCAGAAUUUAAAGUCCCACUUUAGACAGUUAGUACUAUUUCAUUUCUUUCUCAGAUAAAGAACUGGAUUUCAAUUAUAAGAGGACGUUUUCACCCCCAAAUUAUCAUUCUAGCAUUCAGUCACUAAACAAAGUUAGAUGAAGGGAUUAUUCAGCACUUUUGUCUUAUUUUCUGUGGAUAGUGGCCCCUGGCACUCCACUGUAAUCCUGCCAUGUCUCUGAUUUCAGAGUUCUGGCUGGAGUCAUAGUAAUUAAAUACCCAGGUACCGAUGUAACCACAAACCCUCCCCUGAUGAGUCCAGCUCCAAGUCCAGUGCUGACUGAACUUAACAGAUAACAGCAAAGAGGAAACAUUUGGCCAUCAGACAACUCUUCAAAUCACAGUGACACUUCAGGGACAUCGGAGUGAAAACAAGAAAUAUUUCACUCAAAAAGUGGAUCCAGUUUUACUAACAUAACUGAGCAGAGUAGUAAAUUGUGUUUACCAGUCAAUAGUGAGGCUUAAAUACCAUGUUUUGAAAUGGACUUUGAUCUAAGCCCAACAGGAGUGUCAAAUCAUGACUGUUCCCCUGCACUGACUUUGAUGGUGAUGGUAACUUGCAGCUUCUGCUACAGUCAUGCAAUAUCAAAACAUUACAUUUAAGUAUUAGAUUGUUAUUUUUAAAAAACUACUCAGAAAGAAUGAAUUAUAGUAUGCACAAAAUCCACAUUAAUCUGGCUAUGAAAUGAAAACUCUGGCUCUGAAAUCAAAACUCAAAGAUAUUUUCCACACCUAAAAGAAGAUCUCCACAUGUGGCCCCAAGCUUCUCUUUUUGAUGAAAGGUCAAAUAUCUUACUGUCAACAUUUUACAGAUGAAUGUAAAACAAGUUACCUGUCUGUUGUGCUGCUGCAUAAGUCAGUAUGACACUGAUAUUGACACCCACCCCUGGCCUGUUUCAGUCGAGCUGAAGGUCAGAUGGAGACUAAAGGAUCAAAUCUGACUCAGAGUGUCUCUGUGCUGCAGGGAGAGGUGGUGUCAUAUGACCCAGGAGGAGAGGGACGACAGCUCCAAAAUCGAUGAGAACAUCGCCUUCGGCCAACUGGGGACAUUCACCCACAACAUGCUGGCGUUUGGGCUCAGCAAGAAGCUCUGCAAUGACUUCCUGAAGAAGCAGGCUGUCAUUGGCAACCUGAAUGAAGAGCAGUACAAGUUGCUGACCGACCACAUUGAGAAAAUGGCGGCAGAGUGAGUUUGAGGAGGACAAACUGCAUUCAAAGACUGACAGCAAACACACACAUCAGCGACUUGUUUCCAGCUCAAUAUUCUAACAACCAAACCGCCUGUUCUUCCGUCGUUGCAUUUGUGUGGUGCACUGCUGAAAAACAAACACACAGUGAUGGACUGUGUCAUACUGUAGCAAACCUAACCUGGUAGUUCUCCUCUGCACUCGUCCUAUAUCAGCAAUAACAAAACAUCUCUAUCUGGUGUGUGCUAUGAUAUGAGUAACACCUUUGUUAGUGAGCUGCCUCACAAAGACAAGACGCAUAAAGGGAAAUCAUCCAGUGUGACUGUAAACAGCCUCAGUGUGGAGUCAGUCUCUCUGGGUGUGUGUAGGUUAUAUAUCCUCUGUGCUGUGCCACUCUGUGUUUCCUUGGCAGCCAUAUUUAUUACAUGUAACGUGCAUAACAGCAUCUGUUUGAACAGCGUGUAAGAGUACUCAUUGUCCUGCCUUGUUGUAUAUUUUUUUAUAAAUGUGUAUUUAUAGUUGAACCGUAGUGAAUGGCAAUAGUAACUCAGUAUUUGAAUCUGCUUCAAUAUCAGUGUCAGAUCAGAAUAACAGAUGAGUUAAUUACUGCUCAUUCUCUUAUGCUUGUCGGUGUUAUCAGUAGUGUCCUAUUAGACGACAAGCACAAUUAUGUGAGUGUGUGACAUGUCAUUUAACAGCAGCAUUUAAAACAGCUAAAUCAUUAACCCCCAACACCUCUUUCUACAGCGAAGGAAUUACAUUGUGAGAUAUGAAUUUAUUUACUUUCAUGCAGAGGAUGAACCAAGGAUACAUCCAGCUAGGGUCUGUAUACUAAAUAGGAAGCUACAGCAAGGAGACAGCUUGCCUAGCUGAGCAUAAGGCUUGAAAUAAGGGGAGAGAAACUGCAAAUCUGGCUCAGUCCAAAGGUAGAAAUCCAUUUGACAGUACCCCUGUAGCCCCUCGUUCCCAUGAAUUUUGUUAGUUUAAUUAGUACAAAUGAGUUAAGAUUGCAAACCGUGGAUGCUGGCAGCAUUGGUUGCAUGAUAAAACCAAUUUAAUGUGUUUAUGGGAUAUCAUUUUGAUUUCUUGUUCCCAAUUUGGCAAUAUUUUCCAGCUCAUCUGGUCUGAUUGCUGCCGUGGAAUGUACAAUUCAACUGUCACUAAGUAAGUAAACUGCUUUAACUGAGGAUACAUCCAAGACAUGUCAUAUUUGUUUAUCUACUACACCUAAAGGGUCUUUUAACUGCUUGUCACAUGGGCAGAAAUGUUCCUUCGGGCCUAAUGAGGAUGAUGAUACCAAGUUUUAAUGCAGCAGAUUCUAAUAACCUGCAAAUUUAUUCAUAUGUUUAAAACAGCAGUGUAUGAUCGGGAUUAGAGAGCUUCAGGUUGUUGUUUAGUAGGCAUUCAUAUUUAGGACAGGCUGUUUGCCCCUACCUCCUUUAUGCUAGCUUAACAUUUGCCUGCCACAACUUGUUAAACAUACGAUGGUUUUAAUCGUCUCGUUAAACUCUGGGAAGAAAUAAAAGCAGCAAAGUCUUCCAACAAAUCUUCCCCAGAUUUCUUUUCCAUUCUACUGUGGCCCAUAUUCAAAAUCCAGUUGUACUAUUUUAGUUUUUUAUUGAGAACCUUUGUUAUACAAUUUGAAACAUUAUUCAUCCAAAGUGCCUUCCAUUAAAGUAGCUGUCUUGUCUUUGUCUUUUGAAGCUACCCUCCAAUACUCGUCUUAAUGCUAAUGCAGAGCUUGCAGAUGCCACUCUUUUUUUUAACCCCUGGUACAUAAACAAGUCCUGCAUGCAUUGAAGUCUUGCUAUCUGUGUUUUUAAUGUUGAACUUAAGUGAUUGUUCCUUUGAAGUCCAUGUACAUUUACUGUGUAUUGCAUGUGCAACCAGCAUCAAGCAAACUUAAAGUGAGUGACUGAACUGUGAAGUGAUUUGUGCUACUUCAUCCUACCACUGUGGGGCAGCAUUGUGUCUUCAUUCAAAGCACUUCUCACAGACAGAAUCCUCAAUCCAUAAACAAAACUUCUGAACGAUAUGAAGGAAACAUUGUUCUGUGAUUUCUCAAUGGUUAACUCCAUUUGAUGCACUUUCUGACAGGUUGAAUCUCAAUUCAGAUUGAUAAUCUGUUUUAAUCUACCGUCCCCGAUGAAGCCAUUUUGUAAAUAGUGUACAUGUUUCUUUGUGUGUUGUGAGACUUGAUCUCCUGCUGUGUUCGUGGACUGUAGAUCUUUAAUUGUAAAUGUGCGUGAUAGCUGUAAUAGUGCAUUGCAGUCAUUCCAAAUAGGAACCAAGUAUCCAGCUGUUGUUAUGACCUGAAGUGCUCCUGAACAUUUAGCCUCUGUUUGAUGUGGCCAUUAAAAGUAUGUAUAUUGUGUUGUGACAUUAUUUUAAAUGUACAGUAAAUGACGCCAUGAUUUGAAAGCCAUGCAAACCUCUGUAUCCUUCUGUCUUUAAUGACUCUGUUAUUUUCUCAUAGUGUCUCUGCAUGUGGUUCAAGUCUGUUUCUAAAACUGAACUGAAACAUUUUCGUAGACUUCUUAGGCCAUUGUGCUUUCUCUGAUGAAAUAUCAACCUAUACUAUGUUGGACUUGUUAGCUCAGCAUGAGCCAUUUGCACUACAUUUAGCCCAUUCUCUCUGAAUAAUAUCACAUAUUUCCCGUUUGUUCAGUGCAUGCUGUCUCUCUACAUUGGACAUAUCUGUUGUGAAUCGUUGACCGAAGUUUGUCUUUAUCGACUGGUUGUAAACAACUUUUCAACCAUACUGACUUUGUGUUAAGUAUCAACAAAGUGGAGUUCAUCAUUAAAGUACUAUAUUACAUUUUG